CACUGAGUCCCUGGAAGCUGGAUGGAGAACGUGCAUUUCACCAGCACCAGCUCAGGCUGAGAAGGGUCCAGCAUAACAAGUAUCAUGGUGCCUAUGAAUGAGUGAAUGCAUGAGACAAGAUGGAGAGACCCACAUUAUCCUGCCAGGCUCCAGAUUGUUCUCAGUGGAAAAGCGUGACUGUGGCAAAUGA